UACGGGGGGUGCGAGCGUUAAUCGGAAUAACUGGGCGUAAAGCGGGCGCAGACGGUUCGUUAAGCAAGAUGUGAAAUCCCCGGGCUCAACCUGGGAACUGCGUUUUGAACUGGCGGACUAGAGUGUGUCAGAGGGGGGUAGAAUUCCAUGUGUAGCGGUGAAAUGCGUAGAGAUGUGGAGGAAUACCGGUGGCGAAGGCGGGUCUCUGGACUGUAACUGACGCUGAGGCUCGAAAGCGUGGGUAGCAAACAGG
rnacentral:rRNA from 1 species